rnacentral:rRNA from 1 species
CGGACGGGUGAGUAACGCGUGGGUAACCUGCCCUGUACAGGGGGACAACAGUUAGAAAUGACUGCUAAUACCGCAUAAGCGCACAGGACCGCAUGGUCCGGUGUGAAAAACUCUGGUGGUAUACGAUGGUUCCGCGUCUGAUUAGCUUGUUGGUGGGGUAAUGGCUCACCAAGGCGACGAUCAGUAGCCGGCCUGAGAGGGUGAACGGCCACAUUGGGACUGAGACACGGCCCAAACUCCUACGGAAGGCAGCAG